CUCGUUUAGCAACGUGUCGCCAUUUUGAGAAGGGGCACGCACAGCUAAACAUGAAUUUCAGGUGUUUUUUGCGUCUUUUUUCAUAAAAACGUCUUAAACAUGGCUUACUAUUAUCACGAGUCACUGCCGACAGACGCGAGGAGGCGAUACGACUUAAAAUUAGCGUGUAUUGGCCUGCAAAUCUGCCCAUACAAAGUCGUAGCUGAUAGCUGGAUAAACAAUCCAAAGGAAUGGCCUGCAGUGAAGUUCGGAAACAUCUACAACUACCUCAUAAAGUCACUCAUUGGUGAACAAUAUGGAGAAGAGGUUCCAGGAGAUUUUCAAUUUCAUGUCUAGGGGUGAAUUCCCUAAUGGUUUUACUAAAUCUCAGAAAUGUGCUUCAAGAAGAUAUGUGCAGAAGUUCAAACUGAAAGAAGGACGGCUCUUCUUUGGGAGAAGGGUGAUCCAGUCCCGAACAGAAGUACAAUCACUGUUCAAUGAAGUACAAUCGGCUUCAAAAAAACAGUCUCAAUGUGCUCCAGAUAUUAUUGGCGUGGCAUGACAGUGGACAUUGACAGCUGGGUCUCCGAAUGCGAGCGAUGCCAGAGGACUGGUAAAUCUUUACAAAGCAUUAAGAUGUCUGUUGUUUGGGAGUUUGUUGGGAUAGACCUGACUGGGCCUCUCCCAAAAACCAAGGAUGGCUUAAGUACAUUCUGACUGGCACCGAUUAUUUGUCUAAGUGGGUUGAGGCCUUACAAAACCAAAACGCCAUCAGAAGUGGCACAACGGAUCUGCUCAAUUGUUUAUAGACAAGGCUGCCCCCAAAGAAUCCUGUCCGACCAAGGAAGAGAAUUUGUCAAUGAGUUUUCAGCUCAACGAUAACCUUUGUGCCUUCCUGGGCAUUGAAAGAAGUUACACCUGCAUAUCCUCCUCAGAUGAAUGGGCUGGAUGAGAGGACUGAUAGCAACAUAAAUCG